UACAGAGGUCUCAAGCGUUGUUCGGAUUCAUUGGGCGUAAAGGGUGCGUAGGCGGCGCGGUAAGUCGGGUGUGAAAUCUCGGGGCUCAACCCCGAAACUGCACUUGAUACUGCCUCGCUUGAGUACUGGAGAGGAGACUGGAAUUUACGGUGUAGCAGUGAAAUGCGUAGAUAUCGUAAGGAAGACCAGUGGCGAAGGCGAGUCUCUGGACAGUUACUGACGCUGAGGCACGAAGGCCAGGGGAGCAAACGGG
rnacentral:rRNA from 1 species